AUUUACAUAAAUAUUUAUUAAUCGUCAUUAAACUCAACAGAAACACGCAAUGCACUUCGGGUGUCCGACAGGAGUUUCAUCUUCGCUACAAGAGGAAGGUAAAAUUGCGUGUGUGGGGGUGUGUCGCCUGUGGGUUUGCGUUUUUUGCAUCGUGUGUUUGGCUGCCUGGUUCCCUGCCUCCGGAGGGGGGAGCUUCACCUGUUGCCUCUUGUGGGGGAACCUCCAGAGGAGCCCUCAGUUCUCCCAGCUCACUGGAUGACAAAAGUCAGGCGGAGCCUAGAACCAAAACACAAAACAAAACAACAAACAAAAGCAACAACAAAAAUCUCCCCCCCCAAAAAAAAACAAAAACAAAAC
rnacentral:lncRNA from 1 species